UGGCUCAGAGGUUAAAGUGUUUGCCUGCAAUGCAGGAGACCCGGGUUCGAUCCCUGG
rnacentral:tRNA from 1 species